AUGCAUCUACUUGACAGACCUGCAGCAGUUGCUUGUCUGCUGCCAAGAUUUCCUUUCAGCUGCAGGAGAAAAGCAUCCUUGAACUUUCUGUCUGCCUGGUGGUGGCAGUCCAGAAUGACCUGGACUACAGGA